AGCUGCCUGCAUGCUGCGUGCAACAUUCAACGUUGUUUCGACAGCUACAGAUGAAAAAAGUUCAUGUACCUCCGCUAUUUUAAUUUUAUUAUGUGAAUUAUUAUUGUGUUCUAAACGAAUAUGGACUAUUAAAGUGUUAAAAUGGCAGAAUCAGAUAAAAAGUCGAGUCGCAAGCUUAAAUUAGUGCCGCGGAACUUUGAAGAAUAUGAGGACGACAUUGAAUUAAGUUUGGAUACGCAGAAAACAACAGUCACACAGGAGCAAUUUAACCAAUCAAUGUUCCAUAAAAUCAAAGACAAAAUCAAUGAAGAGCCAGACUUCGAGCCGAGCACUUCUGUGAAUUUCUCCGUCCAAGUAGAAGUGGAACAAAUGGAGGCACCAACAGAAGAAAUAGAAAAAAGGACUUUUGCAGUUCUAACUAACACGGAACUUCGUUCUGAGAUGGAGAAGGUGAUGAGUACAACAACAUCUCUUGCUGAUAAAAUCUUAGAAAUUGACAUACGAAACCAAUGGGGCAAAUAUACUCAAGCAGUACAGUUAUCAGACUAUGACAUAAAAAUACAAAAUGCUAUAACCGAAUGGAAGUUCUGGCGAUUGCAAUCAAAAUUUCGUCGCGCAAUCGUCGCUUACAAAUGUUAUAUAUGCAAAAUAGGCUGGUGGCAUUUGACUCCAUUCCGUGACCAUAUUUUACAGCAUGAGGAUAUAAAUGUCAAUAUUGAUACAGCACAGAAUGAUUGUUACAUAAUUGCUUGGAAAGGAGAACCGCCUGUAAGCUUGAGUGAGGUCAAGAUUGAAGGCAAUUGUUGGCAAUGCUUACAGAAGUUCGAAAAACAUUCAAGGAAUACACUGCCGACCAACGCUAUGUAUGUAUGUUUAGGUUGCCUGCACAGAAAACCAUCUUGUGCAGCAUUAUUCGAACAUGAAGGAGUCUGUCAACGGUAUCAGAAAAUUAUAUUCGAGCACGAGAUGGCUACGGAAUCCUUAUGGACAUGUACGAUAUGCAGCGUUGCCUGUUUAAGUAGCAAACGUUAUUUAGAACAUAUGAUGCUGAAUCAUUCGCCCAGGUCGGACUUGCCUAUACUGUUUCCAGCGUUCCAAAGGUGCAGCCGUUGCGAUGUGCCAAUAUUACAUUCUGCGCUGCACAUGUGCAGUCACAAGGACGGCGGUCAGAGAUGUAAGUUUUGUAACAGACCGUUCCAGACAAAACCGCUGCGGGACGCCCACGAGAAGUUUACGAAGAAGAAUUAUUUGUGUAAAGUUUGUAACAUAGUGCUGGUGUCACAGUGUAAAGAACCUCAGCAUAUGUUGGUGCAUACCCAGAAUUACGUCCUCGCGUACAAGUGUAGAGUAUGCUCAGAUACAGCGUUAUUUAAAUCGAGAGAAGACAUGUAUUGGCAUAGAAUUCUACAGCAUCCCGGUAAAAAUAAGAUAAAGGACUUGUAUGAAGCGAUGAUAGUGCCAAAGUCAUGCAUGACUUCAAAAUGGCUAGCUCGCAAUCCUUUUGACGGAAAUGAUGAUUUAAUUGUCAAGAAGCCAGCAGACGCGAAAGUCGAAUCUAAAGAUGACGGUUAUAUGAAGGUAAAUAAAUCAGGCCCGGGUAAAGUGUACACAUUUACCGGCAACCAAAUAGCCAAAACAACUAAAUUUAAAAUGGCUCCAGAAACUGAGAAUUCUCAAGGCAAUUGUCCAAUUAAAUACGAAGUGGACGACACUUGUGCGUCGUUAGAUGACACAGAAAUUGACACAAAACAUGCUAUACUAGAUGACGAUGAUGAUGAUGUACUGGUUAUUGAUGACGUACAAGUCGAAUGUGUCAUCGGAGAUGCGGGUGAUUCGUCACAAGACACAAUGGAUAUAAAAGAAGAAAUUAUCGACGCUAAUACGAAUUCCAAUGAAGAAAAUGAUACAAAAGACACAAUUAAAAUAAAACAAGAAGUUAUAACGGAAAGCUCAAACCAAGAAGAUAAUGAUACAAAAAUAUAUAUGGAAGAGAAUGACUUAUCACAAAAUACAGUAAAUAUAAAGCAAGAAAUAAUAGAUAAAGAUAGUAAGUUAGAGGAUAAUUUUAAGCAAGAAGAUAAUGAUUAUAGAAACGUCCAGGACAUUAUAGAAAUAAAUGACUCUUCACAAGAUACUGUUGAAAUCAAACAAGAAAUAAUGGAUGAAGAUAUGUUCGAGGCCAAAGCUGAUUUGAAUGAACACGAAACAACAUUUGGGAAUGUUAAAAUCAAAACAGAAGUUGUAAUAAAGGAAGAAAAAGAAGAUUACAAAGAAUUUGAUGAAGACAAUAAUGAUAUUAUGGCGGAACACGAGGCGUGCUUGGCUGAAUUGUCAAAAGUGUUUCAAGCAUCAAAACGUGGUGGCUCUAUAGAACUCUCUGGAAUCUGCAUGAGCGAAGACUUGGUUGUCAAAGAGGAGUCAGACGAUGAUUACGAAGAUAUAAUAAAACUGGAUCAUUGUUACGAAAUGAACACAGAACGUUACAAAAACUCUGAUUCGGAAACAUCUAGAAAGGAAACUGUCGAGAACGAUGAAGCCAAUCGCAAUCCACAACCGGAGAUUCGCGUGACUUCGGAACAAUCCAGAUUAACCAUUCCAGUUACAGCUAACACUUCAAGCUACACAAAGAGUGCGAGAAAGAUUUACCAUUGUAGCAGGUGUUCGUUUUUAGGAAUAUACGCAGCAUUUAAAUCCCACGUCGAUAACGUGUGCCCAAGGAAGAAGCACGACUCAAUUAAAUACAGAGAAGACAAAAGGCUGACGCGGAAAGAAUACGUAUGCACGAAAUGUAACGACAAAUUUACCCACAUAAUGUCUUAUGCAGCUCAUUUCCGAAAGCACGGAUUAUGCAUCGGCACUUGCCCGGAAUGCCGUAAGAGUUAUAAGAACGCAAGUGAGGUCUCAACUCAUAUCAUGGGCCACAUAAGGACAUCAUUCUUAAAAGUCCAAGUUUUGAAUGACUCAUCAUUCGUUACAUCAAAAUCUUCAGGACUUUACCAAUGCAAGACAUGUUCAGAGAAGGUCAGACAUAUUGACUUCUUCCCGCAUUGGGAGAGGCAUCUAAAGCUGCGUGAAGAAAACAGUGAUGUGAAGAAAUCGGUGGUGAAAAACAGAAGCCUGUUGAAGAAACCGGUUGCCAGAAGUGAUUCCCCGGGGGAAACGGUGCUACCGCCUGAAAGCUUGCAGAUGACUUUAGAUAUGCUCUUAAGCCCCCUAGAGCCGCGCACUAGCGAUACCAACAAGAAGUGCGCAUUAUGUUCGAGAAAGUUCGACCGACGGAACGAUGUGAAGAGGCACCUGAUAGAGCACCUGCUGAGGGACGCGGCGGCGAACAAUGCGCACGCGUCGCGCGGCCUACUCGUGCUGCGGUGCCAGCUAUGUCACCAGGAGUUCAACAAGACUGACGGGUACAGGAUGCAUAUGAGGAACCAUGGAGCGCUGCCGCUGUACAAGUGUGAGAUGUGUAACAAAUGCUUCUCUGACUCCAGCAACUUCGCCAAACAUAAGAAAACACACAACUAUGGCGUCAUGCUAUGUGAUAUUUGUCACAAGAAGUUCCACUCGAGGGCUGGCAUAGAGAGACAUAUGGAGAUGCACCAGACCACCGACCCGAUCAAGUGCGAGCCGUGUAAUAAGACCUUUUACAGCGCCUCCACGUACAGGAAGCACGUGAAGGCCCUCCACGACAAAGCUUCACACAGGUAUGUGUGUAAAGUCUGCAGGAAGAAGUGGAUGAGUAUCAAAGAAAUGUGGGACCAUAUGUGGCAAGUCCAUCGACUGCGGAAGACCAAAGCUGAUUGUCCUGUUUGUGGCAAACAAUUCCGGAAAGCGAAUGAUGUGAAAUCGCAUCUUCGAGACGAGCAUUUACCAGUAAUAACGGGUUACGAUGUAGAUUUUGCGUAGUGGAACCCGAAACUGGAGUGGGACGUUUACCUGUGGAGCAGCGUCGUGGAGUAAGCGUCACAUCCCCACCGAUCGUUGAAAAGCUGUGCCUAGAUCUAUAGGACUGAGGCGAAGGACAGGAGUCCUAGUAUGGCUUUGUAAUAGACUACUCUGGGCGCCAUCCCACUCGCGUCAGACAGAGUACUGCGGGGCGGAAGGCAAGAGGGAAACCACUGCCCUAUUUUCCUCUACAAAAGUAGCAUGGAGAAUGCUACACCGACAAGGCAACAUCCGUUUACAAUUUCUCUGAAUCUUCAAAAUAUUUAAGUACUAUUUUAAGUUAAAUUCUGGCGUUGAUUCCUAUUGACACCUAAUUUUAAGUUAAACCUGUCUUUUUCUUAUCCGCCGAAAAGGAAAGGGAUGGACAAUUGACAGCUUUUAAAUUUAAAAUGAAUUAAGGCUAAGCGCGCAUUACGAUAAAAAUUCGCUGCGAAAAAUUAUCGCAAAUCUGUCAACCACAGAAAUACACUACAAUCCGCGCACUGCGAAAAUAAAUCGUUUGCGAUUUAAAAUUGCAGAUGCGAAUUCGUAUGUGUAUUUUGUACCCUAUGAAGCGAACCCUAUUAUUGUAGUUUGCGAUUUUAUUACGCACUAAAAACCUCGCAACGAUUUUUUAUCGUAAUGCGCGCUUAGCCUAAUAACCCGGGCGAAUCAAAUUGGCAUCUCGCUGUUAUGCAACCCGCUUACUGUGUGCUGUCAACUUAAUUCUGUCGGGUUAUUGGCCAAUGUAAACUGUCGAUUGGCCGUCCCUUUCCUUUUUGGCGGAUAAGAAAACGACAGGUAUUACUUAAAAUAAAAUUAGACGGUGUGUAAUGGAAUUUGGGGGGUUAAAAAUGGCCACAUCGAAGCAAUUCAUCUAAGAAAGCAAUAUUGCAAUUUGACAUUUGCGCAUAUAAAAGUAAGUGCGCAAUGCAAACAAAUGUCAAAUAGUAAUAUUGCUUUCUUAGACGAAUAGGGUAGUUUCCAACCAGUCAAAUCAGAUACUUUUUACUAAACGUCAAAACACAAAAUGACUAUGGAAUUUGUAUGAAAUAGCACAAUGUGACGUCAUAGAAAAACGUGAUAGUGUCGAACUUAUUAUUACGUUUUUUGUCAUUAAAAUUCAUAAAUAAGUUAAAUAGAAAAAAGAAAAUGUUUUUCGUUAGUUUUCGGUAGUCCUUAUUUCAUCAUCCCAUUAACGUCCCCACUGCUGGGGCACGGGCCUUCCCAAUGGAUGGAUAGGGAGAUCGGGCCUUAAACCACCACGCGGGCCCAGUGCGGAUUGGUAGUUAUUAACGACUGCUAACGCAGCCGGGAGCAACGGCUUAGCGUGCCUUCCAAAGC